AAGCCUUCCCUCAGAUGUGCAGUUCAUUUUCGGUUUGCCCCUUCGCCCAGAGUCUGAGCAGCUAUUCACAGGACAGGAGCGGAGCCUGUCUCUCACAAUCAUCCAGUACAUUGCCAACUUUGUCAAAUCGGGCAACCCCAACUAUCCCUUCGUCUUCUCCAGGAAGUCUGCUAGUGAGGCUCUACCUCCAUGGCCUCGUUUCUUAGACAGCACCGAUGGCAGUAACUACAAAGAAUUUGCAUCUGCCCUCAAAAAUAAGAAAGGAUUGAAGACUGCAGAAUGUUCUUUCUGGAAUGAUUAUGUUGAGAUGUUCUUGGCAUCCACGGGUGAUGUCAGUGAGAAUAAUCUGAGCAGAGAUCAACAUGGCCAAGUCUUCCCGUCAUCAGUCACUCAAACACAACCGCAACCAGCAAAGGAAGUUUACAAUUAAGAUGAAAAUAUCUCCACUGCAGAUGAUUUCAAAUGCUAAUUCUGAUAUGUCUUAGAAACAUUUAAUGGAAAUUGCAGAAAAGAAAAUAGUAAAAUAAAGCAUCCAUUAUAAAAAUAAAUAUGGUUACAGUCUA